rnacentral:tRNA from 4 species
GGCUCGAUGGUGAAAGCGGUUAUCACGCAUCUCUCAUAAAGAUGUAUUCCGGGUUCGAAUCCCGGUUGAGCUAC